CGGGCCGGACAGGCGAUCGCUCCACGGAGGCUUUUCGCCUUCGUGGGGAGGAAAGUCCGGACUUCAGCGAUGCGGCGUGCCGGAGAAAUUCCGGUCGGGGUAACCCGAAGGAAAGUGGCACAGAAAAUACACCGCCUGUCGGCCGCGAGGCCUUCCGGUAAGGGUGAAAAGGUGCGGUAAGAGCGCACCGCGCUCCCGGCAACGGGAGUGGCAGGCAAAACCCCACGCGAAGCAAGGCCAAAUAGGGGGGCGACAAGGGAUGCUCGCUCCCGCGGUCGCAAGACCGGCGCUCCCGGGUAGGCUGCUUGCGCCCGCUCGAGAGAGAGGGCCUGAGAGGAAUGAUCGCCAGCCGUGAGGCGCGAGCCGAGCGGUCACAGAAUCCGGCUUAUCGUCCGGCCCGAGUC
rnacentral:RNase_P_RNA from 1 species